rnacentral:rRNA from 1 species
UACGUAGGGACCAAGCGUUGUCCGGAAUCAUUGGGCGUAAAGCGCGUGUAGGCGGCUUGGUAAGUCCGCUCUGAAAGCCCGGGGCUCAACCCCGGGAGGCGGGUGGAUACUGUCAAGCUCGAGUCCGGAAGAGGCGAGUGGAAUUCCUGGUGUAGCGGUGAAAUGCGCAGAUAUCAGGAGGAACACCAAUGGCGAAGGCAGCUCGCUGGGACGUGACUGACGCUGAGACGCGAAAGCGUGGGGAGCAAACAGG